ACGAGUGGCGAACUGGUGAGUAACACGUGGGUAACCUGCCCUUGAAGUAGGGGAUAACACUUGGAAACAGGUGCUAAUACCGUAUAACAACCAAAACCACCUGGUUUUGGUUUAAAAGACGGCUUCGGCUGUCACUUUAGGAUGGACCCGCGGCGUAUUAGCUUGUUGGUAAGGUAACGGCCUACCAAGGCGAUGAUACGUAGCCGACCUGAGAGGGUAAUCGGCCACAUUGGGACUGAGACACGGCCCAAACUCCUACGGGAGGCAGCAGUAGGGAAUCUUCCACAAUGGACGAAAGUCUGAUGGAGCAACGCCGCGUGAGUGAUGAAGGGUUUCGGCUCGUAAAACUCUGUUGUUGGAGAAGAACAGGUGUCAGAGUAACUGUUGACAUCUUGACGGUAUCCAACCAGAAAGCCACGGCUAACUACGUGCCAGCAGCCGCGGUAAUACGUAGGUGGCAAGCGUUGUCCGGAUUUAUUGGGCGUAAAGCGAGCGCAGGCGGUUUUUUAGGUCUGAUGUGAAAGCCUUCGGCUUAACCGGAGAAGUGCAUCGGAAACCGGGAGACUUGAGUGCAGAAGAGGACAGUGGAACUCCAUGUGUAGCGGUGAAAUGCGUAGAUAUAUGGAAGAACACCAGUGGCGAAGGCGGCUGUCUGGUCUGUAAACUGACGCUGAGGCUCGAAAGCAUGGGUAGCGAAACAGGAUUAGAUACCCUGGUAGUCC
rnacentral:rRNA from 1 species